rnacentral:tmRNA from 1 species
CGCCUUGCAUUCGCAGGGCCGACGCCCUACUUCUCGGGUGUCUCGCUUGCGGGACUAUGGUGAUAAACGCGCGUGUAAUAAGCGGAUCGGACCCGGGGGCGGUACCCGGCGGCUCCACCAACCUCCCCACCGGGGGACCAUGGGGCCGAAACAGUAUCGACGGACGUCUAACGACGUUGCUUUCACUCGGUGAGGUACCACCGUUAUCGGUCCGAACAGUAUAGUUGCAAAUGACAACCAUGCUCCGGUGGCCGUUGCCGCGUAAGCGGUAGCCAAACCGAAAUCUAAGUCUCGGCGCCUAGCAGCGUCGUGCGGGGUUCGCAGGCACCUGGCAACAGAAGCCUGCACU